rnacentral:rRNA from 1 species
AGAGUUUGAUCAUGGCUCAGGAUGAACGCUAGCGGCAGGCCUAACACAUGCAAGUCGAACGGUAACAGAUCUUUCGGGAUGCUGACGAGUGGCGCACGGGUGCGUAACGCGUAUGCAACUUACCCUUAACAGGGGGAUAGCCCAUGGAAACGUGGAUUAAUACCCCAUAACAUAUAAUCUUCGCAUGUUGAUUAUAUUAAAACUUCGGUGGUUAAGGAUAGGCAUGCGUCCUAUUAGCUAGUUGGUAAGGUAAUGGCUUACCAAGGCAACGAUAGGUAGGGGGCCUGAGAGGGUAAUCCCCCACACUGGUACUGAGACACGGACCAGACUCCUACGGGAGGCAGCAGUGAGGAAUAUUGGGCAAUGGACGAAAGUCUGACCCAGCCAUGCCGCGUGCAGGAAGACGGCCCUAUGGGUUGUAAACUGCUUUUAUAUAGGAAGAAACCCCCCGACGUGUCGGGGGCUGACGGUACUAUAGGAAUAAGCACCGGCUAACUCCGUGCCAGCAGCCGCGGUAAUACGGAGGGUGCAAGCGUUAUCCGGAUUCAUUGGGUUUAAAGGGUCCGUAGGCGGGUCUUUAAGUCAGUGGUGAAAGCCUGCAGCUCAACUGCAGAACUGCCAUUGAUACUGGAGACCUUGAGUAUGGUUGAAGUGGGCGGAAUGUGUCAUGUAGCGGUGAAAUGCAUAGAUAUGACACAGAACACCGAUUGCGAAGGCAGCUCACUAAGUCAUAACUGACGUUGAGGGACGAAAGCGUGGGGAGCGAACAGGAUUAGAUACCCUGGUAGUCCACGCCGUAAACGAUCAUCACUCGCUGUUGGCGAUAUACAGUCAGCGGCCAAGCGAAAGCAUUAAGUGAUGCACCUGGGGGUACGAUCGCAAGAUUGAAACUCAAAGGAAUUGACGGG